rnacentral:miRNA from 2 species
UAAAACCUUCAGAAGGAAAGGAGAAUGUUUUGUGGACCAUUUGGUUUU